GGCCGGCUAGGUCAGUUGGUAGAGCGUCGUGCUAAUGACACGAAUGUCUUGGGUCCGAACCUCAAGCGGGCCA